rnacentral:rRNA from 1 species
UACGAGGGGGGCGAGCGUUGUUCGGAAUUAUUGGGCGUAAAGGGUGCGUAGGCGGCCUGACAAGUCUGAUGUGAAAUCCCUGGGCUCAACCCAGGGCCUGCAUCGGAAACUGUCGGGCUUGAGUAUGGGAGAGGUGAGUGGAAUUUCCGGUGUAGCGGUGAAAUGCGUAGAUAUCGGAAGGAACACCUGUGGCGAAAGCGGCUCACUGGACCAUUACUGACGCUGAUGCACGAAAGCUAGGGGAGCAAACAGG